GACGAACGCUGGCGGCGUGCUUAACACAUGCAAGUCGAACGGAAAGGCCCUGCUUUUGUGGGGUGCUCGAGUGGCGAACGGGUGAGUAACACGUGAGUAACCUGCCCUUGACUUUGGGAUAACUUCAGGAAACUGGGGCUAAUACCGGAUAGGAGCUCCUGCUGCAUGGUGGGGGUUGGAAAGUUUCGGCGGUUGGGGAUGGACUCGCGGCUUAUCAGCUUGUUGGUGGGGUAGUGGCUUACCAAGGCUUUGACGGGUAGCCGGCCUGAGAGGGUGACCGGCCACAUUGGGACUGGGAUACGGCCCAGACUCCUACGGGAGGCAGCAGUGGGGAAUAUUGCACAAUGGGCGGAAACCUGAUGCAGCAACGCCGCGUGCGGGAUGACGGCCUUCGGGUUGUAAACCGCUUUCGCCUGUGACGAAGCGUGAGUGACGGUAAUGGGUAAAGAAGCACCGGCUAACUACGUG
rnacentral:rRNA from 1 species